rnacentral:rRNA from 1 species
GAUGAACGCUGGCGGCGUGCCUAAUACAUGCAAGUCGAGCGAACAGACGAGGAGCUUGCUCCUCUGACGUUAGCGGCGGACGGGUGAGUAACACGUGGAUAACCUACCUAUAAGACUGGGAUAACUUCGGGAAACCGGAGCUAAUACCGGAUAAUAUAUUGAACCGCAUGGUUCAAUAGUGAAAUACGGUUUUGCUGUCACUUAUAGAUGGAUCCGCGCCGCAUUAGCUAGUUGGUAAGGUAACGGCUUACCAAGGCGACGAUGCGUAGCCGACCUGAGAGGGUGAUCGGCCACACUGGAACUGAGACACGGUCCAGACUCCUACGGGAGGCAGCAGUAGGGAAUCUUACGCAAUGGGCGAGAGCCUGACGGAGCAACGCCGCGUGAGUGAUGAAGGUCUUCGGAUCGGAAAACUCUGUUAUUAGGGAAGAACAAAUGUGUAAGUAACUAUGCACGUCUUGACGGUACCUAAUCAGAAAGCCACGGCUAACUACGUG